GCUUCACUUGCAGCCGUGUAUUCUGCCUCAGUGGUUGAGUCAGCUACAGUCUGCUGCUUAAAAUUUUUUCAAUUGACUACUCCACCAUUUAAAGUAAAGAUAGAUCCUAAAGUGGACUUGCUAUCAUCAGGGUCUGAUAAGAAACUAGAGUCAGAAUAGUCUUCUAGUUUUAGAUCAGAUCUUCCAUAUAUGAGAAAAAUAUCUAUAGUCCUUCUCAAG
rnacentral:lncRNA from 1 species